UGGUUCUGGCAUCGAUGAAGAACGCAGCGAAAUGCGAUAAGUAAUGUGAAUUGCAGAAUUCAGUGAAUCAUCGAAUCUUUGAACGCACAUUGCGCCCUUUGGUAUUCCGAAGGGCAUGCCUGUUCGAGCGUCAUUAUCAACCAUCAAGCCCGGCUUGUUAUUAGGUUCUUAUCGGUAAAAGAUAGGCCUGAAAGAUAAUGGCGGAGUCAUGAUUGACCCCCGGUGCAGCGAGCUGUUUAAGCAUACACUGAAGCGGUCGUUAUGUUCUGGCCUUUUAUGUUUUUAACCAAACAUUUUUCAAGGUUGACCUCGGAUCAGGUAGGAAUACCCGCUGA
rnacentral:misc_RNA from 1 species